GGUCGUUUAGCUCAGUCGGUAGAGCGCUGUGCUAAUAACGCAGAUGUCACUGGUUCGAACCCAGUAUCGACCA